rnacentral:rRNA from 1 species
UACGUAGGUGGCAAGCGUUGUCCGGAAUUACUGGGCGUAAAGGGCUCGUAGGUGGCCAACUAAGUCAGACGUGAAAUCCCUCAGCUUAACUGGGGAACUGCGUCUGAUACUGGAUGGCUUGAGUUUGGGAGAGGGAUGCGGAAUUCCAGGUGUAGCGGUGAAAUGCGUAGAUAUCUGGAGGAACACCGGUGGCGAAGGCGGCAUCCUGGACCAAUACUGACACUGAGGAGCGAAAGCCAGGGGAGCAAACGGG